GACGUAGGGCGCGAGCGUUGUCCGGAUUUAUUGGGCGUAAAGAGCUCGUAGGCGGCUUGUCGCGUCGGCUGUGAAAACCUGGGGCUCAACUCCGGGCUUGCAGCCGAUACGGGCAAGCUAGAGUUCGGUAGGGGAGACUGGAAUUCCUGGUGUAGCGGUGAAAUGCGCAGAUAUCAGGAGGAACACCGGUGGCGAAGGCGGGUCUCUGGGCCGAUACUGACGCUGAGGAGCGAAAGCGUGGGGAGCGAACAGG
rnacentral:rRNA from 1 species